rnacentral:lncRNA from 1 species
GCAGGAGACUCGGCUCUCCCGGCUGCGCGUUCGCUCGCUCUCUCGGCACGUCAUUUAUGCCACAGGAGCCCUAGCGGCCUCUCCAUAGAGUGCCUGGAAUGCGAGACGUCAAUGUGACGCCAUGGGACGCUACGUCACCCUCCUCCUCCCUCCCCUGGCCCAGCCGGUUCCGCGUGUGCGAGGGUGUGUGUGUGUGUGUGUGUGUGUGUGUGUGCGCGUGUGUGUGUGCGCGCGUUCCCCGGCUAUUUGCACGGCCGCACAAUGGAAACCGCGGGGAGCUGCCGACUCUGGCCCCGAGGCUUCUCAGACCCGCGCGGCCAAUCUCUCCGCACCCGAGCCGCUCGCCAGGGCGCUCGUCUACCGGAGGGUGCCGCAGCCAGCCGGCGGGUCAGGCGGGACCGCCCAGCUGUCAGGCUCCGGGUGGAGUAGAGUUGGAGGAGUGCUGCUGGCUGGCCUCCGAGGCUGCCCCGAGGCAUCCAGCCAGGUCGAGGGGGGCUUGAGUUUGAGCCGGGGCCUCAUGCACACUAGGAGAGCCCCCUACCACUGAGCUACACCCCCGGUCCUCCACCAGCCUCUUCACUGGCCUCGUUAGCCUCACCAGACCAUUUUACACAACCCUGUGUAUCUCUGAUCUAUCUUCAGAUACGUGCUGCUAAAGUUUCAACAGUUUGUAGAGGUUUUUGGAAGCACCUACCCCAAGACAGAUGCAUGGAUACUAAAAACUGUGUUGGUUGCACAUAAUCUGAAGAAUUGGUUAUGCAUUCUGUAACAUCCAUUAGCUACUCUAUGAUUGAGCCAUCUUCCCUCUAAUCCCCUCAAGUUUCCCUUUCUGGAUCUGUGAAUAGAAAUAUCUGAGUCUCCCAGGACGUUUUCAAUGAGCAACACUGUGAUGUUCUGCAGCACUGACUUAGAGGACCUGUCUGGAUUUCUUGCUGGAGCCAGAGCAGAAUAAGGCUCUGGGAUGGCAUUUCGGGCAUUUCUCCUGUCUUUCUUCUCUGAGAUGCCCGGCAUCUUUGGAGACAGUUCCCAUAUACAGGGAAGAACCAUGUGAAGAUGUUCCCGGAUCAGUUCUUCAUUUCAGCAGAUCAAUCUUCUAAAGACUCAAGAACAAUAACCAGUUGCUGGAAGGAAGAGUGUUCCGGCCUGCUACACAGACAUAUUGACACAUAUGCGAGGAGACUGGAGCCCAAAGGAAAGUGAGAGCAAAAUCUGGCAAGAUUUGAGAGAAGAGGAAGACUAAAUUGCAGGAAAGGGGAAAGCUUUGUAUUUUCCUUAAAAGAUAGUAAAAUUGCCCAGCAGUGGUGGCAAAUAUCAUCAAUCCCAGCACUCAGGAGGCAGAGACAGGUAGAUCUCUGAGUUCAAAUCCAGCCUGGUCUACAGAGCUAGUUCCAGGACAGCUAAGGCUACACAGAAAAACCCUGCCUGGAAAAUAAAAACAAAUGAACAAAAAGUAAUAAAAUUAGGGCACACAGAAAUAUAGGGAAGGAAAAAUAUUACUGUCAGGUAGAAAGUAUAUUUGGCUUGCAAUUAACUGAAUUUUGGUUCAAUUUUCUCUAAUUCCUAGUUUCAUCUGUAAAAUGUAGGAUACUAAUAGCAAAACUUUGCUUCAGGAUUUUUUACGGUUAAAAAGGAUUAGUUACAUGCAAAUUCUCUGGCCAGCCCCUGGGUUGCCAAGCCUGUGUAGAAGACAUUGGAGACAACACCAAGCUGUGUGCUGAAGACUUGUCCUGCUCCUAUUAUUUGUUAAUUGUCUGGGAAAGUCUUAAAAAAUUGCUCAACCUUAGUUACUUCUUCUGUAAAAUAGGGACAAUUAUCACAGCAAUUUUAUAGGAACCAUUUAAAGAAGAAACAAGCUAGUUCAUAUAGAGUAAAAUAUUUGGUGCCGAAGUUCCUGCUGUUGAAUGACCACUGCAGAUGGCCAAGGAUUGACAGAGCUGCUGCUCUUGCAGGGACCCAGGAUUUGGUUCCUAAUAUCCAUAACAGCAAGUGUUCACAAUUGCCUGUAACUCUACUUCCAGGGGACACUGAGCUGUCUUCUGCCUCUGAGAACACUUGCACAAUACACUGGAAAUAAAAUGGAAAUAAUUAAAAAUAGUAUUUUUUUGUAUCUCUGUGAGUUUGUGGCCAACCUGGUCUAUUGAUCGAGUACCAGGACUGACAAGACUAUACAGAGAAACUGUCUUGAAAAAAAUAAAACAAGCUAGCCAAACAAGCAAACAAAAAGCCAAAAAGAAAAAGAAAAGGAACAAUUCCUUAAAAUUAAAAAAAAAGAUGUUUUGGUAUGUGCCUGUGUGUGUACAUCUGUGUGUCUGUGUGCACAGGUUCAUGUGCACAUGUUUGCAGAGGCCAGAGGUCAAUGUCUGCUGUCUUUCUCAAUUGCUCUCCACCUUAUUUUUAAGACAGGGUCUCUCACUGAACCUGGAACUAGCUGAUUUGCUAGACUGUCCACCCAACAAGUCCCUGAGACCAUCUUGUCUCAGUAUCCCCAGAGCUGGGGGACUGAUUAUAAGCAUGCCCCUGGCUUUUUCAGGUGAAUGUUGGGGAUCCAACUCAAUUUCUUUACCAACUGAGCUAUCUCUCCAACCCCUACUGCUAUCUUCUUUUUUAGAAGGUACAGAGGAUCCAGUGGUAAUUUUGAGCGGAGGGUAAUGGGUUGGCUGAAAGAUGGGAUGAGGAACGAGUGUGGUAAAGAGGGGCUAUAAUCUGUUGGUGGUUUCUAAAUGGAACUGAGUGGUGAAGGGCUGAGGAGAGACCAAAAAGAGAGUAAGACUAAUCAAAAUAUCAGUAACUGCUGGUUAGAGACUCGAGAACUCGAUGAGCAACCAUCAUAGGAGGGGUGGAGAAAAGCUACUCAUAUACACUCAUAUACUGGAGAUGCAGUUUUCAAACCCCAGUGUGUGUGACUCACCUGGGGAACCAGAAUGUGGAUUCUCCUCUAGUUGGUCUGGAUGGACCCAGAGAUGCUGCCAUUAUUAACCAAAUCUCAAGAAGUGCAGAGGAUGCAUAAGUCACACCAGCAAGGAUGCUAAGGGUCAUGAGGAGAAAAAAAAAGAGUUUUGCUUGUUUGUUUGGUUGUCUUUUUUUUUUUUUAAGGAACUAAAUCAAGACAAAAAAAAAAACAAAAACUUACCAUACUAAGUUUGGUUUCCUGAAUUUGGCAUUAUGGGAUGUAGAAUAGUGUGAUGAUGAAAGGUUAGAUUAAUUUUCAGAUCAGGAUUAACCCUUUCUCCACAAUUAUUAGAAAGAUGAUUCUGGGUUUUUUGACCUUUGCUCUCUGGUUUCUAACUGAGAGGUUGCAGAGACUAGAUCACAAGACUGCUGCAUUGAUUAAUGGAGACACUCUGUUGUAAAAACAGGGGUGAUACUUACUGAAGGAAUAAAAAUCCUCUCUGUAGAUUUCACACAAUGUAAAGAGUAACUCAGCUCCUGGAGAGGCCCGUCUGGGCCUUUUCACAUUCAACUUUUCUGUUAG